rnacentral:lncRNA from 1 species
AUUUGAUUAUUAACCAAUGGUAUUAGGCCACUCUUGGCCAUGAUUACAGACGCCUGUGUCUUUUGACACUAUAUAAACGAGUCAUCCCGCAGUGUUUGUGAUUAUACCCUGAUGAAGACAGCUUGGCUGUCGAAACGUUGGUAUUACAUUUUUGCAUCUGAGCUCCUAGCGUGUGCGGCUCUCUUUUAUUUUCAAGCACUUUGCAGUUCGUCAUGGGGAACUUUUCUUUGGGUAUCUGAACUCUCAGAUCACAGAUUUAGCGAAGUUAGCUAGCAUUAAUUUUGGUUAGAACGCUGAUGGACUACAGAGCAAGAAAGCCAGUUCUGAUACAUAGUAUCAUGUUGAUGAUCAACACAAGUUUAAAGUUACUUCUUGCACCAUUGUAUCAUGACUGGUAGCACCACCAACACAAUGCACGAUAUCUUUCAAUCAAUGGAGUACGGACCGUGUAGUUCCAAGUGCUGGAACUACACGCUCAGGCUUGGCUUGAGCCUCAGUCUCGUGCUCUCGGCUUGUUCAUCGAUGGAAAGUUUGUUCGCCGUGCAGACAGACAGACAUGCAAUGUGACUGACUCUUCAGGUGGUACUGUGUAUAGUACUGUGUGUGCUGUGGAUGAGGAUGUGUCCCUCUCUGUGUCCUCUGGGGCCAGUGGCUUCAAGGCCUGGAGUGCUCUCCCCUGUCAUCUCAGAGCCAAGACUCUACUCAGGUAGCUUACACACUGCACUCAUUUACCUCUGUCUAUGGUUCACUGAUACACACUACAUAUUUUCAACUCGCUCUAGGGUUGACUGAAAUACACACUCAUAAUAAUACUUAAUUUAAAGUGUUUCUCGAAAAUUAUAUAUAUAUAUAUAUAUAUAUAAUUUAUAUAUUAUACAAUUAUUUAUUUAUUUAUAUAUAUAUAUAUAUAUAUGAGAUAACAACUAUCCAAAACACAGAACAAUUGUAAGCAGACAACAUUCAAAGCUAU